GGGCCAUGGUAGGGGACUACGGCCAUAAGGCUGAGGAAACUCCGACCUCCAAACCUAAAGAGAGCUCCGACAUGGAGCAAGGGGAGAUCCCUUGGCUACUACACAGAAACGAAGUCAUUUAGCUCUAGAUGAAGAUGAACCGAUCCUCAAGCAUGUAAAUGCUAGAGGUAGGCGAGAUGAGCUAAAGUGGCUUGAAACGGUAGACCUCUCUGGAGCAAGUAGGAGGGAUAUGAGCGAGGUUCGAUCCCUCUAAUAACGCAAAGCCAAAUUCCCCAGGUACAGAAGUCGGGUUAUUGCCAUGGCCC
rnacentral:RNase_P_RNA from 1 species